GACGAACGCUGGCGGCGCGCUUAACACAUGCAAGUCGAACGGAAAGGCCUGCUUUCCCUUGUGGAUUGCGGGUACUCGAGUGGCGAACGGGUGAGUAACACGUGAGUGAUCUGCCCCCAACUUGGGUAUAAGCCUGGGAAACUGGGUCUAAUUCCCGAUAGGACUGCAGGGUGGUGCCUGUGGUGGAAAACGAUUUUCUAGUGGUUGGGGAUGAGCUCGCGGCCUAUCAGCUUGUUGGUGGGGUAAUGGCCUACCAAGGCGGCGACGGGUAGCCGGCCUGGGAGGGUGGACGGCAACAGUGGGACUGAGAUACGGCCCAGACUCCUACGGGAGGCAGCAGUGGGGAAUAAUGCACAAUGGGCGGAAGCCUGAUGCAGCGACGCCGCGUGGGGGAUGACGGCCUUCGGGUUGUAAACUCCUUUCGACCGCGAGGAAGCCACCUGGUUGGAAGGGUGGUGACGGUAGUGGUAGAAGAAGCACCGGCUAACUACGUG
rnacentral:rRNA from 1 species